AUCUCUCUCUCUCUCUCUCUCUCUCUCUCUCUCUCUCUCUCUGUAUGUAUGUAUAAACUUGUAUAGGUCCACAUGCAUUUAUGCAUAGCCCAUUUAUGUAGGUUUAGAUGUGUUUAUGUAUGCAUAUGUAACAUGUUCAUGUGUAUGCAAUAUGCAGACAAACAUGGAUAAUUGGAUAUUGUAUAUAUACCUAGUUUUCUUUCUAAGUGACUGUAGAUAAAAAGUCUUUUGGGGACAAAAGUGGAGUGGCUUUAUUAUAUAUUUCAAGCAUUUAAUGCUGGUGAUUUGGUUCGUUAUCAAGAACUCUGCCAUGUCCAUAGCGCUGCUCUUAGUGCACAGCCUGCGUUAGUUGAGAAUGAGAAGAAAUUACUAGAGAAAAUUAACAUUAUUUGUUUGAUGGAAAUCAUCUUCAGUUUGGGUAUCUAUGAACAGUAUCAGGAGCAAUGGGAUGAUCUAUUGCAACCCCAUGUGUUGUGGGUUUGUUGUAUAUGAAGUUCGAUCAAUAAUGGUAACUCCCUCUCCUUUUUGUUGCAUUGUAAAACAAAAUGCAUUUGCUUAGUUUGCUGGUUGCAGGUGGUUUAGUUGAAAAUCAUAUCUACUUUGUAAACCAUGUCAAUAUUUUUGGAGGUAAGUUGUUCCCAAGCUUCAAAUUUCACUGGGUUUCGAUUUGUUUCGUGUAUUUUCCACAAAUUUAGUUGGUAUUUUGAAUAGCCGAAUGUUUAUUUCGUCUUUGCUAUUGCAGAUUUUGCUUAUUCAGAAAUGAGAAGAUAAGUGUAUGCUCCCAAGUAUUUUCUUUCUUUUUUAUGUUAUCUCGUCGUCGUCUUUCUCUAUAAUUUAGUUCUUCAGUUUCGAGGCAUAGCUUUUUCAUAUGACUACAUUGUUUGUAUGAUGAGAUUGAUUUUCAGCCAUGUGUAGUAAGCUUUCGGAUCAAAGCGAAGCUGAC